AACGUAGGACGCAAGCGUUAUCCGGAGUUACUGGGCGUAGAGCGCGGGCAGGCGGCUCGAUGCGUCUGAUGUGAAAUCUCCUCGCUCAACGGGGAGAGGCCAUUGGAAACGGUCGGGCUGGAGGGCAGUAGAGGCAGGCGGAAUUCCGGGUGGAGUGGUGAAAUGCGUAGAGAUCCGGAGGAACACCAGAGGCGAAGGCGGCCUGCUGGGCUGCACCUGACGCUGAGCCGCGAAAGCCAGGGGAGCGAACGGG
rnacentral:rRNA from 1 species